ACUUGGGGAUGUGGGCAUUUUUUGAGCAAGUCUCUAAAACACUCCCAAGUCUCGAGAAAGAGGUCCCCAUCUAUCUGUGAGAAACUUGUGAUAGCUCUCCGAAACU